CCUACGGGAGGCAGCAGUGAGGAAUAUUGGUCAAUGGGCGGGAGCCUGAACCAGCCAAGUCGCGUGAGGGAAGACGGUCCUAUGGAUUGUAAACCUCUUUAGGCGGGGAGCAAUGCCGGGCACGCGUGCCCGGAGGGAGAGUACCCGCAGAAUAAGCAUCGGCUAACUCCGUGCCAGCAGCCGCGGUAAUACGGAGGAUGCGAGCGUUAUCCGGAUUUAUUGGGUUUAAAGGGUGCGUAGGCGGUCCGUUAAGUCAGCGGUAAAAUUGCGGGGCUCAACCCUGUCGAGCCGUUGAAACUGGCAGACUUGAGUUGGCGAGAAGUACGCGGAAUGCGCGGUGUAGCGGUGAAAUGCAUAGAUAUCGCGCAGAACUCCGAUUGCGAAGGCAGCGUACCGGCGCCAGACUGACGCUGAGGCACGAAAGCGUGGGGAUCGAACAGGAUUAGAUACCCCUGUAGUC
rnacentral:rRNA from 1 species